UACGUAGGGUGCGAGCGUUAAUCGGAAUUACUGGGCGUAAAGCGUGCGUAGGUGGCGUGUUAAGUGUGAUGUUAAAUCGUGUGGCUCAACCAUAUCGAUGUGUCGCAUACUGGCAUGCUAGAGGACAGCAGAGGCAAGUGGAAUUUGUAGUGUAGCAGUGAAAUGCGUAGAUAUUACAAGGAACACCAAUGGCGAAGGCAGCUUGCUGGGCUACUCCUGACACUGAGGUACGAAAGCGUGGGGAGCGAACAGG
rnacentral:rRNA from 1 species